rnacentral:misc_RNA from 1 species
UCCAACUUAUCGCUGGCGGUCUCCUGAGAGUGCUCCCUUACGGGGUGGCAACACAGGACAAGGGUUGCGCUCGUUGCGGGACUUAACCCAACAUCUCACGACACGAGCUGACGACAGCCAUGCAGCACCUGUCUCCACGUUCCUUUCGGCACUCCAGCAUCUCUGCCAGAUCCGUGGGAUGUCAAGGGUAGGUAAGGUUCUUCGCGUUGCGUCGAAUUGAACCACAUGCUCCACCGCUUGUGCGGGCCCCCGUCAAUUCCUUUGAGUUUCAGCCUUGCGACUGUACUCCCCAGGCGGCAUAUUUAACGCGUUAGCUCCGGCACAGAUCAACUGAAUGACCUACACCAAAUAUGCAUCGUUUAGGGCGUGGACUAC